rnacentral:lncRNA from 1 species
AUGGAAACACUCGUCUCAGCUGCAGCCCUCAAACUCAACAACAGCUGCUGGACAGAGAUGCAAAUGUUCCUGCGCGUGUCGUCUGACUCGGGGAGAGGCUCGUGCUCGCCGGCCUCCUUCCUCGCUCCUCCAGUUUCCUCCUGUAAUGGUUAUUUUGUGCGAGCGGCGCAGAGGAGUGCUCGUUCACUGGAGUUCAUGAUGGCUCCUCUCCAGCCAUGCAGAGGAGAAUGGCUUUCUGGGGGAUUGCUUCCUCUCCCCGCCCAGACGCCCUCAUUGAACUCUGUUCGCCUCCGAAGUCUCUGUGAGCAGAAGGUCCAGAUACAGACAGUGAGGUCAUCCAUACGUUACGUACAGACGGGUUUAUCUUCACCUCAUAUGAGCUACAGCGGAUGUUAAAUAUUAAAGAUAUGAUGUGUAAGAUCUGUGCAUUAAAAUGUAUUUUAAAAAACAUGACUGGCUGUUUGUUCUACAUGAUGUUGAAACCAGAGACGUCCACGAGGGAAGUCGAGGUGCAUUUGAUUCGGUCGCCAGGAGAGAGUCACUUCAUACGGGGUCCAUGCUAAUGCUGUUAGCCUAGCAGCUACAGUGCAAACGUCAGC